AUUGAACGCUGGCGGCAGGCCUAACACAUUCAAGUCGAACGAGUGGCGGACGGGUGAGUAAUGUCUGGGAAACUGCCUGAUGGAGGGGGAUCACUACUGGAAACGGUAGCUAAUACCGCAUACCAUCAGAUGUGCCCAGAUGGGAUUAUCUAGUUGGUGGGGUAACGGCUCACCAAGGCGACGAUCCCUAGCUGGUCUGAGAGGAUGACCAGCCACACGGGAACGGAGACACGGUCCAGACGCCUACGGGAGGCAGCAGAGGGGAAGAGUGCAAAAUGGGCGCAAGCCGGAUGCAGACAUGCCGCGUGUAUGAAGAAGGCCUUCGGGGUGGAAAGUACUUUCAGCGGGGAGGCGUUACCCGCAGAAGAAGCACCGGCUAACUCCGUGCCAGCAGCCGCGGUAAUAC
rnacentral:rRNA from 1 species